AUGGUCAGCGUCUCCGAGCUCUGCCCGUGGUCCCUGGAGAUCGUCCCCCGGCCCUUCAACGACGGCGCGUACCAGGUGUUGCCACCAUCGUACCUGAUCCCCGCGAGCCACUCCAGCCCCUGCCCGGCGGCCGUGACCCUGCUGGAGUCCGGGGGGGACCUCCAGCCCCCCGGGGGGUCCCUGCGCCUCCUCUGCCGAGGGUCCGGCUUCAGUUUUGGCAGUUUUGACAUGGGCUGGUAUCGCCAGAGACCCAGGCAGGGGCUGGAAUACGUGGCAGGGAUCAAUGGCAAUGGUGCCACCCCCAGGUACGCGCCAUCGCUCAAGGGCCGGGUGACGAUCUCCAGGGACAACGGGCAGAGCUCGGUGACGCUGACCAUGAACAGCCUCAAGGACGAGGAUUCCGGAUCCUAUUUCUGUGCCAAAAACGCUUAUGAUGGUGGUGGCUGGGAGGCUCAUGCUGGUUCUCGUUUCCAUCCCCGUGUCCCCACCUGUCCCCAUGUCCCAGUCCCUUCCCUGUAA